CAGGAAAGCAGGCUACUGGCAGGAAAGCAGGCUACUGGCAGGAAAGCAGGCUACUGGCUACAGGUGGGAAAGCAGGCUACUGGCAGGAAAGCAGGCUACAGACAGGAAAGCAGGCUACUGGCAGGAAAGCAGGCUACUGGCGGGAAAGCAGGCUACUGGCGGGAAAGCAGGCUACUGGCAGGAAAGCAGGCUACAGGCGGGAAAGCAGGCUACAGGCAGGAAAGCAGGCUACUGGCAGGAAAGCAGGCUACGUGCGGGAAAUCGGGCUACAGGCUACAGGUAGGAAAGCAGGCUACAGACAGGAAAGCAGGCUACAGGCUAUAAGCAGGAAAGCUACAGGCAGGAGAGACAGGAAAGCAGGCUACAGGCUACAGGCAGGAAAGCAGGCUACAGGCUACAGACAGGAAAGCAGGCUACAGGUGGGAAAUCAGGCUACAGGCAGGAAAGCAGGCUACAGACAGGAAAGCAGGCUACAGACAGGAAAGCAGGCUACAGGCAGGAAAGCAGGCUACAGACAGGAAAGCAGGCUACAGACAGGAAAGCAGGCUACAGACAGGAAAGCAGGCUACUGGCAGGAAAGCAGGCUACUGGCAGGAAAGCAGGC
ensembl:lncRNA